AGUCCGUGAACUGGUCGAGUACAAUGAAGACCUUUCAACUCAGUUGAGGCAGGAGCCGAUGGAAGGAUUCGAGGAAGAUGAAGAUUUGUAAUUGGAACCAGAUUUGGUCGAACCUACAUUCGAUAAUGCAGCGAAUGAUUAAUUAGGUGGACCAGAGGAACUAGCAAUUUUUGUGGAGAUUUGUUAGAUAAUUUUUAGAUAGGUAUCAAUUGAGUGUUUGCGAGGAUGUUGCUCAGAUAGGAGUGGAGCUAUGUAGAAUAGAUAUUAAUUCAUUUUGGAAAGAUAUUGAUAAAAUAUAUUAA
rnacentral:lncRNA from 1 species